rnacentral:rRNA from 1 species
UUUUAUGGAGAGUUUGAUCCUGGCUCAGAGUGAACGCUGGCGGCGUGCCUAAUACAUGCAAGUCGAACGAUGAAGCUUCUAGCUUGCUAGAA